rnacentral:rRNA from 1 species
AAGUGCUAUUGCUUAGUGGCGGACGGGUGAGUAACGCGUGAGCAACCUCCCUUACAGAGGGGGAUAACAUUCGGAAACGAAUGCUAAUACCGCAUAACAUAUAACUGUGGCAUCACAGAAAUAUCAAAGGAGUAAUCCGCUGUAAGAUGGGCUCGCGUCCGAUUAGAUAGUUGGUGAGGUAAUGGCUCACCAAGUCUACGAUCGGUAGCCGGACUGAGAGGUUGAUCGGCCACAUUGGGACUGAGACACGGCCCAGACUCC